rnacentral:rRNA from 1 species
AGCAGUAGCCGCGGUAAUACGAAGGGUGCAAGCGUUAAUCGGAAUUACUGGGCGUAAAGCGUGCGUAGGCGGCUUUUUAAGUAGGAUGUGAAAUCCCUGAGCUUAACUUAGGAAUUGCAUUCGAUACUGGGAAGCUAGAGUAUGGGAGAGGAUGGUAGAAUUCCAGGUGUAGCGGUGAAAUGCGUAGAGAUCUGGAGGAAUAACGAUGGCGAAGGCAGCCAUCUGGCCUAAUACUGACGCUGAGGUACGAAAGCAUGGGGAGCAAACAGGAUUAGAUACCCGUGUAGUCCUGUCUCUUAUACA